GCAUUACACUAAAAUGGUGUGAAU
rnacentral:siRNA from 1 species